UACGUAGGGGUCGAGCGUUGUCCGGAGUUACUGGGCGUAAAGCGUGCGCAGGCGGCUCAUCGCGCUCGGCGUGAAAGCCCCCGGCUCAACCGGGGAGGGUCGUCGAGGACGGGUGAGCUUGAGGGUAUCAGGGGUUGGUGGAAUUCCCGGUGUAGUGGUGAAAUACGUAGAGAUUGGGAAGAACACCAGUGGCGAAGGCGGCUAUCUGGACGGUUUCUGACACUAAGACUCGAAAGCGUGGGGAGCAAACAGG
rnacentral:rRNA from 1 species